GACGAGUCUCACAAACGUUAUUCGGAAUUACUGGGCUUAAAGGGUGCGUAGGCGGUGGAGUAAGUCGGAUGUGAAAUACCUUAGCUUAACUAGGGAACUGCACUCGAUACUACUUUGCUAGAGUAAGACAGAGGUGAGUGGAACUGAGGGUGGAGCGGUGAAAUGCGUUGAUAGUCCUCAGGAACACCGGUGGCGAAGGCGACUCACUGGGCCGAUACUGACGCUGAGGAGCGAAGCGUGGGAGCGAACGAGGC
rnacentral:rRNA from 1 species